rnacentral:rRNA from 1 species
AGCGAACGCUGGCGGUAGGCCUAACACAUGCAAGCCGAACGAAGUCUUCGGACUCAGUGGCGGACGGGUGAGUAACACGUGGGAACGUGCCUUUAGGUUCGGAAUAACUCAGGGGAACUUGUGCUAAUACCGAAUGUGCCCUUCGGGGGAAAGAUUUAUCGCCUUUAGAGCGGCCCGCGUCUGAUUAGCUAGUUGGUGAGGUAAAGGCUCACCAAGGCUACGAUCAGUAGCUGGUCUGAGAGGAUGACCAGCCACAUUGGGGCUGAGACACGGCCCAAACUCCUACGGGAGGCAGCAGUGAGGAAUCCUGCGAAAUGGGCGAAAGCCUGACGCAGCCAUGCCGCGUGGAUGAUGAAGGUCUUAGGAUUGUAAAAUCCUUUCACCGGUGAAGAUAAUGACUGUAGCCGGAGAAGAAGUCCCGGCUAACUUCGUGCCAGCCGCCGCGGUAACAC